ensembl:snRNA U6 U6 spliceosomal RNA
UGUUUCCUUUGGUACACCAUUUACGAACACUAGAAUGGUACAGAGGUCAGUGUGGCCCCUGAGCAACGAUAACAUGCAAAUUCUUGAAGUGUUUCAGAUUAAA